UGUGAGAACAUAUUGUCUCCUGUUUCUGAGAGCAAAUUACGCAUCUUGAAUCAGGAUGUCUAAACAUGAAAUAUGAAUAUUAAAUAAUUUUAACCAUUAUUCAUGUCUGUGGAAUGGAUCUAACCCUUUUAAUCACCCAGCGAUGGAGUCCAUACAGCAUCAGUUGCCUGUAAUUCAUAUGAAUUGUGAAACAGAAUGCUAAUGGAAUUUGUGUUAGGAAAACUGUACUUUGGAUUCUUCUUCAAGCAAUGCUUACAUGGAAGAUGUGUGACUACUUCAACCUGCCUUCCUGGAGGAAUCUUUGAAACAGGAACAAUACAACACAAUAUAGGGCCAAGAAAUCAAUGAAAUAUUUUAAGCUAUCUCCCUGGAGCUGUGCAGAAAAACUUCUAGCAUUGUGAAUCAAAGCAGCAGCAGCAGCAAUCUUGGCUACCAUUGAUCUUGAUUCCCAAGCUUUCCUGGACUGGUUUAGAGCAAAAAUGGGCUUGAUGAGAAUCUGAGUCUACAUCUGUUUGUGGAGUUUCUUGAGGACCUAUCCAUGAACUUCAUUACAGAAACCAAGAAAGAGCUCAUAAAAUUAUUGAAAUCUUGAAAUUAUGUAGGUUAAUCUUUAACAUGUGGCUUGUUUCCACGUGACAAGAAGUAUUAAAAUUAAAACCUUAUAAAUAGCUAAAA